rnacentral:rRNA from 1 species
UAGUAUCCUUAAAAAAAUAAAAUUUAGUUAUUAAAAAUUCAUUAAACCUUAAAUAUUGGCGGUAAAUAUACUAUCUAGAGGGUCUUGUUUAUAUAAAUGAUAUUACACAUUUACUUUUGCUUUUAUUAUAAAUUAUUUUGUAUACCGUUGUAUAGAAAGGUAAAAAAUUAUCUUUCAAUAGUCUUUAUAGUUUGAAUUCAGAUUAGGUGCAAAGAAUAUAAAAGUUUAAAUUAGACACAAUUAAAUUAUAAUUUAAAUAUACUUUAAAUAUGUAUAAUAUAGUAUGAAUUUAGAAGUAAUUUUAUAUUAUUUAUAUAAAAUGAAUAAAGUAAUAUUUGCG